CCGAAUUGUCGACACGAGUUGUUGCUGGUCCUCAAAUGGGGGCAUGUGCACGCUCUGUUCGCACAUCCACUCACACCUGUGCACCCUCCAUAGUUCUGCAGCCCUGGGGGCUCUGUCCCCCCCUGCCGUGGUUCUAUGUAUUUACACACACACUGUAAUAAAGUCUUAUGGAAUGCAUGCCGCGUUUAACGCAAUACAAUA
rnacentral:misc_RNA from 1 species